rnacentral:rRNA from 1 species
AUUGAACGCUGGCGGCAGGCCUAACACAUGCAAGUCGAGCGGAUGAAGGGAGCUUGCUCCUGGAUUCAGCGGCGGACGGGUGAGUAAUGCCCAGGAAUCUGCCUGGUAGUGGGGGAUAACGUCCGGAAACGGGCGCUAAUACCGCAUACGUCCUGAGGGAGAAAGUGGGGGAUCUUCGGACCUCACGCUAUCAGAUGAGCCUAGGUCGGAUUAGCUAGUUGGUGGGGUAAAGGCCUACCAAGGCGACGAUCCGUAACUGGUCUGAGAGGAUGAUCAGUCACACUGGAACUGAGACACGGUCCAGACUCCUACGGGAGGCAGCAGUGGGGAAUAUUGGACAAUGGGCGAAAGCCUGAUCCAGCCAUGCCGCGUGUGUGAAGAAGGUCUUCGGAUUGUAAAGCACUUUAAGUUGGGAGGAAGGGCAGUAAGUUAAUACCUUGCUAUUUUGACGUUACCAACAGAAUAAGCACCGGCUAACUUCGUG